rnacentral:rRNA from 1 species
GUCUUCAUCCAUGCUACCCUGAACAAGCCCGAUCCCGUCUGAUCUCGGAAGCUAAGCAGGGUCAGUCCUGGUUAGUACUUGGAUGGGAGACCACCUAGGAAGACCAGGUGCUGUAGGCG